rnacentral:lncRNA from 1 species
UUUCUGCAGCAAUUAAUAUCCCAUAGUCAUACUUUGUCAUCUUUAGUCACUUACACCUCAGCCUAACUUGGCAGGAAGCAUUUUUGAAUACUAGCUUUGGAAGGGGAAGUGGAUGGCUUCUGUGUGCUUGGGGUAGUCAAGGAGGAAAUGCUCUGAAGUCAACAUUUGCCAUUGUCCAACUGACUUAGCUAUGCUCUGGGUCCCAGAAAUGUCCAUUAUUUCCUCUUCUAUUAUUUGAAUUUCUUUAAACCAUGACAGAGAAGAGAAGUUGAGUUUAACAAUUCUGUUAGCACAUUGGAAUAUCAGAAGAAAACCUAAGGGUCAUCCAGAAUUGGGAAAGUAACUACAUUUCACUUUGCAUGUCAACUCCCAACAUGGUACUGUCAGGCCUCUGAGCCCAAGCCAAGCUAUCGCAUCCUCUGUGACUUGCACGUAUAUGCCCAGAUGGCCUGAAGUAACUGAAGAAUCACAAAAGAAGUGAAUGUGUCCUGCCCCAACUUAACUGAUGACAUUCCACCACAAAAGAAGUCUAAAUGGCCGGUCCUUGCCUUAACUGAUGACAUUACCUUGUGAAAGUCCUUUUCCUGGCUCAUCCUGGCUCAAAAAGCACCCCCACUGAGCACCUUGCGACCCCCACUCCUGCCCACCAGAGAACAAACCCCCUUUGACUGUAAUUUUCCUUUACCUACCCAAAUCCUGUAAAACGGCCUCAUCCUUAUCUCCCUUUGCUGACUCUCUUUUUGGACUCAGCCCGCCUGCACCCAGGUGAAAUAAACAGCCAUGUUGCUCACACAAAGCCUGUUUGGUGGUCUCUUCACACGGACGCGCAUGAAAUUUGGUGCCUAAAUUUGGUGCCAUGACUCGGAUCGGGGGACCUCCCUUGGGUGAUCAAUCCCCCGUACUCCUGUUCUUUGCUCCGUGAGAAAGAUCCAUCUAUGACCUCAGGCCCUCAGACCGACCAGCCCAAGGAACAUCUCACCAAUUUUAAAUCAGGUAAGCGGCCUCUUCUUACUCUCUUCUCCAACCUCUCUCACCGUCCCUCAACCACUUUCUCCUUUCCACUCUUCAAUCUCCCCCUUCUCUUAAUUUCAAUUCCUUUCAUUUUCUGGGAGAGACAAAGGAGACAUGUUUUAUCCGUGGACCCAAAACUCCGGCGCCGGUCACGGACUGGGAAGGCAGCCUUCCCUUGGUGUUUAAUCAUUGCAAGGAUGCUUCUCUGAUUAUACACUCACGUUUCAAGGGUGUCAGACCACACAGGGACGCCUGCCUUAGUCCUUCACACUUAGCGGCAAGUCCCGCUUUUCUGGGGGAGGGGCAAGUACCCCAACCCCUUCUCUGUCUCUACCCCUUCUCUGCUUUCCUGGGGCAGGGGCAAGUACCCUUCAACCCCUUCUCCUUCACCCUUAGCGGCAAGUCCCACUUUCCUAGGGAGCAAGAAUCCCCCAAUCGCUUAUUUCCAAACCCCAACCUAUAUCUCUGCACCCCAAUCCCUUAUUUCCGCACCCUGACCUCUUAUCUCUGUGCCCCAAUCCCUUAUUUCCGUGCCCCAACCCCUUCUCUGCUUUUCUGGAGGGCAAGAACCCCCCACCCCUUCUCCAUGUCUCUACUCUUUUCUCUGGGCUUGCCUCCUUCACUAUAGGUAAGCUUCCACCUUCCAUUCCUCCUUCUUCUCCCUUAGCCUGUGUUCUCAAAAACUUAAAACCUCUUCAACUCACACCUGAUCUAAAACCUAAAUGCCUUAUUUUCUUCUGCAAUGCCGCUUGACCCCAAUACAAACUGGACAGUAGUUCCAAAUAGCCGGAAAAUGGCACUUUCAAUUUUUCCAUCCUACAAGAUCUAAAUAAUUCUUGUCGUAAAAUGGGCAAAUGGUCUGAGGUGCCUGACAUCCAGGCAUUCUUUUACACAUCAGUCCCUUCCUAGUAUCUAUGCCCAGUGCAACUCGUCCCAAAUCUUCCUUCUUUCCCUCCCGCCUGUCCCCUCAGUCCCAACCCCAAGCAUCGCUGAGUCUUUCUAAUCUUCCUUUUCUACAGACCCAUCUGACCUCUCCCCUCCUCACCAGCCCAAGCUAGGUCCCAAUUCUUCCUCAGCCUCCGCUCCUCCACCCUGUAAUCUUUUCAUCACCUCCCCUCCUCACACCUGGUCUGGCUUACAGUUUCCUUCUGUGACUAGCCCUCCCCCACCUGCCCAGCAAUUUACUCUUAAAAAGGUGGCUGGAGCCAAAGGCAUAGUCAAGAUUAAUGCUCCUUUUUCUUUAUCCCAAAUCAGAUAGCGUUUAGGCUCUUUUUCAUCAAAUAUAAAAAUCCAGCCCAGUUCAUGGCUCAUUUGGCAGCAACCCUGAGACGCUUUACAGCCCUAGAACCUAAAAGGUCAAAAGGUCAUCUUAUUCUCAAUAUUCAUUUUAUUACCCAAUCUGCUCCUGACAUUAAAUAAAACUCCAAAAAUUGGAAUCUGGCCCUCAAACCCCACAACAGGACUUAAUUAACCUCACCUUCAAGGUGUACAAUAACAGAAAAAAGUUGCAAUUCCUUGCCUCCACUGCGAGACAAACCCUAGCCACAUCUCCAGCACACAAGAACUUCCAAACACCUGAACAGCAGCAGCCAGGCGUUCCUCCAGAACCUCCUCCCCCAGAAGCUUGCUACACGUGCCAGAAAUCUGGCUACUGGGCCAAGGAAUGCCCGCAGCCCGGGAUUCCUCCUAAGCCGUAUCCCAUCUCUGGGGGACCCCACUGAAAAUCGGACUGUUCAACUCACCUGGCAGCUACUCCCAGAGCCCCUGGAACUCUGGCCCAAGGAUCUCUGACUGACUCCUUCCCAGAUCUUCUCAGCUUAGCGGCUGAAGACUGACACUGCCCGAUCGCCUUGGAAGCCCCCUAGACCAUCACGGACGCCGAGCUUCAGGUAACUCUCACAGUGGAAGGUAAGCCCGUCCCCUUCUUAAUCAAUACGGAGGCCACCCACUCCACAUUACCUUCUUUUCAAGGGCCUAUUUCCCUUGCCUGCAUAACUGUUGUGGGUAUUGACAGCCAGGCUUCUAAACCUCUUAAAGCUCCCCAACUCUGGUGCCAACUUCGACAAUACUCUUUUAAGCACUCCUCUUUAGUUAUCCCCACCUGCCCAGUUCCCUUAUUAGGCUGAGACACUUUAACUAAAUUAUCUCCUUCCCUGACUAUUCCUGGACUACAGCUAUAUCUCAUUGCCGCCCUUCUUCCCAAUCCAAAGCCUCCUUUGCGUCCUCCUCUUUUAUCCCCCCACCUUAACCCACAAGUAUAAGAUACCUCUACUCCCUCCUUGGCGACCGAUCAUGCACUUCUUACCAUCUCAUUAAAACCUAAUCACCCUUACCCCACUCAACGCCAAUAUCCCAUCCCGCAGCACGCUUUAAAAAGAUUAAAUUCUGUUAUCACUCGCCUGCUACAGCAUGGCCUUUUAAAGCCUAUAAACUCUCCUUACAAUUCUCCCAUUUUACCUGUCCUAAAACCAGACAAGCCUUACAAGUUAGUUCAGGAUCUGCGCCUUAGCAACCAAAUUGUUUUGCCUAUCCACCCUGUGGUGCCCAACCCAUGCACUCUUUUGUCCUCAAUACCUUCCUCCACAACUCACUAUUCUGUGCUUGAUCUUAAAGAUGCUUUUUUCACUAUUCCCCUGCACCCCUCAUCCCAGCCUCUCUUUGCUUUCACUUAGACUGACCCUGACAGCCAUUAGGCUCAGCAAAUUACCUAGGCUGUACUGCUGCAAGGCUUCAUAGACAGCCCCCAUUACUUCAGUCAAGCCCAAAUUUCAUCCUCAUCUGUUACCUAUCUCGGCAUAAUUCUCAUAAAAACAUACGUGCUUUCCCUGCUGAUCGUGUCCAAUUAAUCUCCCAAACCUCAAUCCCUUACAAAACAACAACUCCUUUCCUUCCUAGGCAUAGUUAGUGCGGUCAGAAUUCUUACACAAGAGCCAGGACCGCACCCUGUAGCCUUUCUGUGCAAACAACUUGACCUUACUGUUUUAGCCUAGCCCUCAUGUCUGCGUGCAGUGGCUGCUGCUGCUUUAAUACUUUUAGAGGCCCUCAAAAUCACAAACUAUGCUCAACUCACUCUCUACAGUUCUCAUAACUUCCAAAAUCUAUUUUCUUCCUCAUACCUGAUGCAUAUACUUUCUGCUUCCUGCCUCCUUCAGCUAUACUCACUCUUUGUUGAGUCUCCCACAAUUACCAUUGUUCCUGGCCCGGACUUCAAUCCAGCCUACCAUAUUAUUCCUGAUACCACACCUGACCCCCAUGACUGUAUCUCUCUGAUCCACCUGACAUUCACCACAUUCCCCCAAAUUUCCUUCUUUCCUGUUCCUCACCCUGAUCACACUUGACUUAUUGAUGGCGGUUCCACCAGGCCUAAUUGCCACACACCAGCAAAGGCAGGUUAUACUAUAGUUCAAGCCACUAGCCUGCCUCUUAGAACCUCUCAUUUCCUUUCCAUCAUGGAAAUCUAUCCUCAAGGAAAUAACUUUUCAGUGUUCCAUCUGCUAUUCUACUACUCCUCAGGGAUUAUUCAGGCCCCCUCCCUUCCCUACACAUCAAGCUCAAGGAUUUGCCCCCACCCAGGACUGGCAAAUUAGCUUUACCCAACAUGCCUGAGUCAGGAAACUAAAAUACCUCUUAGUCUAAAUAGACACUUUCACUGAAUAAGUAAAGGCCUUUCCUACAGGGUCUGAGAAGGCCACCACAGUCAUUUCUUCCCUUCUGUCAGACAUAAUUCCUCAGUUUAGCCUUCCAACCUCUAUACAGUCUGAUAACAGACGAGCCUUUAUUAGUCAAAUCAGCCAAGCAGUUUUUCAGGCUCUUAGUGUUCAGUGAAACCUUUAUAUCCCUUAUGGUCCUCCGUCUUCAAGAAAAGUAGAAUGGACUAAAAGUCUUUUAAAAACACACCUCACCAAGCUCAGCCACCAACUUAAAAAGGACUGGGCAAUACUUUUACCACUUUCCCUUCUCAGAAUUCAGGCCUGUCCUCGGAAUGCUACAGGAUACAGCGCAUUUAAGCUCCUAUAUAGAUGCUCCUUUUUAUUAGGCCCCAGUCUCAUUCCAGACACCAGACCAACUUAGACUGUGCCCCUCCCCCCCAAAAAAACUUGUCAUCCCUACUAUUUUCUGUCUAGUCAUACUCCUAUUCGCCGUUCUCAACUACUCAUACAUGCCCUGCUCUUGUUUACACUGCCAGUUUACACUGUUUCUCCAAGCCAUCACAGCUGAUAUCUCCUGGUGCUAUCCCCAACCUGCCACUCUUAACUCUUGAAGUAAAUAAAUAAUCUUUGCUGGCAGGACUAUGCCAAAUCUCCUUAAGCACUCUCUAAUCAGAUAUCCUGAGUCGUCCCAAUUCUUAGACCUUUUAUACCUGUUUUUCUCCUUCUGUUAUUCCAUUUAGUUUUUCAAUUCAUACAAAACCGUAUCCAGGCCAUCAUCAAUCAUUCUAUACGACAAAUGUUUCUUCUAACAUCCCCACAAUAUCACCCCUUACCACAAGACCUCCCUUCAGCUUAAUCUCUCCCACUCUAGGUUCCCACGUCGCCCCUAAUCCCGCUUGAAGCAGCCCUGAGAAACAUCGCCCAUUCUCUCUCCAUACCACCCACCAAAAAUUUUCGCCGCCCCAACAGUUCAACACUAUUUUAUUUUUCUUAUUAAUAUAAGAAGGCAGGAAUGUCAGGCCUCUGAGCCCAAGCCAAGCCAUCGCAUCCCCUGUGACUUGCACGUAUAUGCCCAGAUGGCCUGAAGUAACUGAAGAAUCACAAAAGAAGUGAAUAUGCCCUGCCCCACCUUAACUGAUGGCAUUCCACCACAAAAGAAGUCUAAAUGGCCGGUCCUUGCCUUAACUGAUGACAUUACCUUGUGAAAGUCCUUUUCCUGGCUCAUCCUGGCUCAAAAAGCACCCCCACUGAGCACCUUGCGACCCCCACUCCUGCCCACCAGAGAACAAACCCCCUUUGACUGUAAUUUUCCUUUACCUACCCAAAUCCUGUAAAACGGCCCCACCCUUAUCUCCCUUCGCUGACUUUCUUUUUGGACUCAGCCCGCCUGCACCCAGGUGAAAUAAACAGCCAUGUUGCUCACACAUAGCCUGUUUGGUGGUCUCUUCACACAGACGCGCAUGAAAGGUACUGAUAGCCUGCAGCAUAUGGCUAAAAAUGACUAUAAAGUCUGUCCUUACUGAGGGGAUCAUGAUGACAUCUAUGGGUGAAAGCAGGAAAGACUGCUACAUGAUACCGACCAGAGGAUUCUCAUUAUUUCAGCCUUUGUGUGGAGACAGCGGAUACUCCCUGAGCCCUGUGGCUUGGCAGCAGCCUCACAUUUUUCAGUGUCUGCUUUGAGAAUAAAGCUGAUGGGCUCUGAAGGGACUGCCCUCCAUCACUCAGUCCUUCCAUCACCCGCUCCGCAAAUGACAACCUCUGACGGGAAAGUAUGGGGAGCCAAUUUGGAAUUAAUGCCCUGCAUCUGGAGGGAGACUGUUUAAGACAGCAAAUAUUCAGGAAGCAAAUCCAGACUGUUGGAUGAACGACAGGGAGAGAAAUUCAGAUGCCCUGCCUGAGCACAACUUUACACCUUGACAACUGCUUUGGGAAUAAGAAAAACGAGGCCCAGAGAAACAUAAUAACUUGCCCAAGGAAAAUCAACCGGUCAGUGGCUGCUCCUCACACAUUCAAGCUCAUUCUCCCUUCAGGACCUUUACAUGUGCUGUGCCCUCUGCUUGAUUCCUUCCUCUUCAGGCAUACGAAUGCCAACUGUCCGGGAUGCUGUCCAUGGUCCUGAACUUCUGCCAUGAAGUCUAAGCCAAGGGGAUGCAGACAAAACAUAUGGAGAAGUGUUGGAUUGGACCAAAAGAGGAAGGAUUCAGACUGCCCAAAAAGAGGUGAAAUAGUCUGCCCAGGAAGAAGCAGCACAUUUUGAUCUUUUUCUUGCCUGCUGAUGAAGGGCCACAAGCAACCCUGAUGGUGGGGCGGAUGCUGGCACAACUUGUCAGAGGCUGGCAGCUGGUGUGCAGACCAAAGCCUAGUGAACCUGGGGCCUAAAUGUCAACGUGUGGCUAUCAGGACAGGAAUAAAGGCAUUGAUGUAACACUGGUUUUUGUUUUGUGUGUGUGUUUUUCUGAAGGGCAAGGUGGAUAUACUAAAAAAUGAAUUUUAAAAACAUUAAGCCCUAAUCCCACCUUCAGAACAAGUGGCUUUUCAAAAUAACUAAAAGGGUAGAACUGGAAUGUUUCUAACACAAAGAAAUGAUAAAUGCUUGAGGCGAUAGACAUCCCAAAUACCCUGAUUUGAUCAUGACAAUAUUGUAUGUUUGUAUCAAUAUUUCACAUGUACUCCAUAAAUAUAUGCAACUAUUAUGUAUCCAUAAUAAUUAAAGAUAAAUCAAUAUUUUAAAGUUCCUCAUUUGUUUUAGAUCCUUCGUUUAAAAAAACUGAGAAAAAAGGAGUUGCUUUUUUUCCCUCCUGGCUAGUGUAAAAACUAACACACAUUUACCUUUCAAUUAAAAUCUCAAGACCCUUUGCAUGUGGUACAUGCACCAAAUGCAUACAUUAGAACUGAAUUAUGGAAAAACACAAGAGAAUGACAUUGAUUUAUGCACUUCCAUUAGAUAGAGUGUUAGUUAACAAUUCAAAACAAACAGAUACCUUAAGUCUGUCAAGAAAAGAGCAUUUUAGUUGAAGAGCAAAG